rnacentral:rRNA from 1 species
UGGGGAAUUUUGGACAAUGGGCGAAAGCCUGAUCCAGCAAUGCCGCGUGUGUGAAGAAGGCCUUCGGGUUGUAAAGCACUUUUGUCCGGAAAGAAAUCCUUGGCUCUAAUACAGUCGGGGGAUGACGGUACCGGAAGAAUAAGCACCGGCUAACUACGUGCCAGCAGCCGCGGUAAUACGUAGGGUGCAAGCGUUAAUCGGAAUUACUGGGCGUAAAGCGUGCGCAGGCGGUUUGCUAAGACCGAUGUGAAAUCCCCGGGCUCAACCUGGGAACUGCAUUGGUGACUGGCAGGCUAGAGUAUGGCAGAGGGGGGUAGAAUUCCACGUGUAGCAGUGAAAUGCGUAGAGAUGUGGAGGAAUACCGAUGGCGAAGGCAGCCCCCUGGGCCAAUACUGACGCUCAUGCACGAAAGCGUGGGGAGCAAACAGGAUUAGAUACCCUGGUAGUCCACGCCCUAAACGAUGUCAACUAGUUGUUGGGGAUUCAUUUCCUUAGUAACGUAGCUAACGCGUGAAGUUGACCGCCUGGGGAGUACGGUCGCAAGAUUAAAACUCAGAUGAAUUGACGGGGUCAUAGCUG